rnacentral:rRNA from 1 species
UACGAAGGGGUCUAGCGUUGUUCGGAAUUACUGGGCGUAAAGCGCACGUAGGCGGACUGACAAGUCAGGGGUGAAAUCCCGGGGCUCAACCUCGGAACUGCCUUUGAUACUGUUAGUCUUGAGUCCGGAAGAGGUGGGUGGAAUUCCUAGUGUAGAGGUGAAAUUCGCAGAUAUUAGGAAGAACACCGGUGGCGAAGGCGGCCCACUGGUCCGGAACUGACGCUGAGGUGCGAAAGCGUGGGGAGCAAACAGG